rnacentral:rRNA from 1 species
UCGAACGCGUGAGAAUCUGGCUCUAGGUCGGGGACAACAGUUGGAAACGACUGCUAAUACCGGAUGUGCCGAGAGGUGAAAGAUUAAUUGCCUAGAGAUGAGCUCGCGUCUGAUUAGCUAGUUGGUGUGGUAAGAGCGCACCAAGGCGACGAUCAGUAGCUGGUCUGAGAGGAUGAUCAGCCACACUGGGACUGAGACACGGCCCAGACUCCUACGGGAGGCAGCAGUGGGGAAUUUUCCGCAAUGGGCGAAAGCCUGACGGAGCAAUACCGCGUGAGGGAGGAAGGCUCUUGGGUUGUAAACCUCUUUUCUCAAGGAAUAAGAACUGAAGGUACUUGAGGAAUAAGCAUCGGCUAACUCCGUGCCAGCAGCCGCGGUAAUACGGAGGAUGCAAGCGUUAUCCGGAAUGAUUGGGCGUAAAGGGUCCGCAGGUGGCAAUGUAAGUCUGCUGUCAAAGAAUGAGGCUUAACCUCAUCAAGGCAGUGGAAACUACAUAGCUAGAGUACGGUCGGGGUAGAAGGAAUUCCUGGUGUAGCGGUGAAAUGCGUAGAGAUCAGGAAGAACACCGGUGGCGAAAGCGUU